rnacentral:rRNA from 1 species
AGUGGGGGCGCUGACUACACAUGGCAAGUCGAACGAGAGAGUGUAUUCCUCCAUGGAGUAAUAGGGUGCCCACCGGGCGAGUAACACGAGACACAAUCUGCCCUUGAGUGGGGGAUAACCUCGAGAAACCGGGGCUAAUACUCGCUAUAACAUCUUGUGGUCGGAAGAACUGAGGAUCCAGAGGAGCAAUUCGCUUAAGGAGGAGGUCGCGGCUGAUUACCUAGUUGGCGGGGUAAUGGCCCCCCAAGGCCAAGAUCGGUAGCCGGCCUGAGAGGGCGCACGGCCCCACUGGAACUGAAACACGGACCAGACUCCUACGGGAGGCAGCAGGUGGGGAAUUUUGCGCAACGGGGGAAACCCUGACCCAGCAACACCGCGUGCAGGAGGAAGUCCCUUGGGACGUAAACUCCUUUCAACCGG